AGCGAACGCUGGCGGCAGGCCUAACACAUGCAAGUCGAACGAACUCUUCGGAGUUAGUGGCGGACGGGUGCGUAACACGUGGGAACGUGCCUUUUGGUUCGGAAUAACUCAGGGAAACUUGUGCUAAUACCGAAUGUGCCCUUCGGGGGAAAGAUUUAUCGCCAUUAGAUCGGCCCGCGUCUGAUUAGCUAGUUGGUGGGGUAACGGCCCACCAAGGCGACGAUCAGUAGCUGGUCUGAGAGGAUGACCAGCCACACUGGGACUGAGACACGGCCCAGACUCCUACGGGAGGCAGCAGUGGGGAAUAUUGCGCAAUGGGCGAAAGCCUGACGCAGCCAUGCCGCGUGAAUGAUGAAGGUCUUAGGAUUGUAAAAUUCUUUCACCGGGGACGAUAAUGACGGUACCGGGAGAAGAAGCCCCGGCUAACUUCGUG
rnacentral:rRNA from 1 species